GAAGCGAAGGUUUGCUCCAUGCUGGUGGACGCGGAGGCAGCAACAUGAGUGGACGACAAGAGGAACACAGAAUGAUGAAAGCUAACAGCCUCCACCUCAAUGCAACUUUGGAUCUGCACAAUGACGCGCUGGAAACGGCUGUAUUUGAGUUCAAAGUAUUCAACAUUGUCAUCGCCGUCCUGGCCUUCUGUAUUCUCAUCAUCACCGGCAUCUACUGCAUCGGCGUCUGCUACAACCGCACCAGUCCCGAAGAUUGACUGGUGGAUGGCGAUGGACGUGUCGGCGAACCCUGCUCUACUGUUCACCUUGUUUAGGGUUACAAGGAAACUAGAGUCUAUCCAAGCCGACUGAAUUUUGGGUGAGGAGGUGAGAUACACUUUAUACUGGUCGCCAGUAAAUCACGGGCACAUGUAGACAACCAUCCAAACUCUCAUUCAUACAAUUUCACCCUCUGUUCCUCCUGGCUUGUCUUUCCAGACUGAAACACUGCUGAAAUAUCAGUUUCUUUCAUUUUUGUCACAGCUGCUGGGAUUUUAGUCCACAUUUGUAUAACAGAUCAUUGUCGGUGGCCUCUUAUUCAUCAGGCAGUCAAAGAGGGCUCAUAUUUAUGAGAGCGCAGUGACCCGAGGUGAGCCAGUGGACCCUGUAGCGGUCAGAGCGGUGAGGAGGUCGACCAGUUUCAUCAACCCGCUGGCCUUCUUCAGGAGAGCAGAAGCGGCUAAAGACAACUCCAGGAUCUAUUACAUCUACAGCAACCCACUUCCUGUGGGAGCCAAGGAGGAUGAAGAAGACCCAACCAGGCGAGCUGAGCUUUCACUGCCACCAUCCAUUGAGAAGUACGCUGAGGACCCCCACAGCGGUAUCAUCUUGGACCCUCCCAUUUUUUACAUGCAACUUUAGAAGGUGAUGGAGGGUGAUGAUGUUGCGACAAAAAGUGGAUAUAGUCUGGGAUGUUGCUACAGUCCAUCCCAUAAGUGAUGACACAUGAUCGCUAGUGAAAAUGGUAUACUUUUGUGGCUCUGGAAGGACUUUGCAAUGCAUGCCGUAAUGAUGUCAUCAUAGUAAUCACAGCACAGCCGGAAAGCUGACGGAUUUAAAGCACAAGUCCAUAAACCUUUCGGACGGAACUUUGAAACAUGUGUGGGUCUUACGAAAGGUGCAUCAUGGGAACUGUAGAACUGCAGUUUUGGGACGUUGUCCAAGUCUGUGGGUCAGUAUGUGUUUGAUUUUCAGUCUUUGUCUGUCAGCUACAAUACUAAGUGAGUAUUCAGUAAAGUUGCAAUCCAUUCACGUGUAGCAGUUUUUGUAUGAUACUUCGAGUGUGUUUCCAAUUUAGUGCGUAAUACCGCCUGUUCAAAAUUCACUGUUUCUAAUAAGGAGCAAAAAAACUGUCACUGUCUGUGAUCACAUGAGGGAGCUGAAAGUACAUCAUAAUGUGCAGCAAAACUGCAGAAUGAUAUCUAUCCAUUUUCUAUACCGCUCGUCCUCAUUAUGGUUUCAGGCGAGAGGUGGGGUACACCCUGUCCUGGUUGCCAGCCAAUCACAGAACACAUAUAGACAAACCACCAUUCACACUCACACUUUAGAGUGUGAGCAAUUUAGAGUCUCCAGUUAACCUAACAUAGAAUGUGGGAGGAAUCUGGAUACCCAGAAAAAACUCAUGCACGCAUGAGGAGAACAUGCAAAUUCCACACACAGAUGCCCAAAUGGAGAUUCAAACCCUCAAACUCCUGACUGAGGCCAACAUGCUAAGUAAGCACUCGUCCACUGUGCAGCAUGCGGAGUCAUAUGUGUUAUAAAAGAUGGCAUCACCUCUGGUCUAGAAGGAAAAUGUAAGUGAAAAUGUUUGAAGUGUUUUUACAAGAUAAUAUUGUACUAUUCUUACUACAUCCAUGGCUUCUGUUACAAUUUUACAUAGAAAGUCUUUGUUUUUGUUAUAAAUAUCCUAUUUUGAUACAAAUUCAGCCUCAUUUGUCUUAAUAAAGAACUGAAAAUGACGUGUGUGUUUAACAGAGGACCUGUACUUACUCAAGAUGGCGGUGCGUACACACAGCAAAGCCCAGC